CGAGGGGUAUAGUUCUUCGGAACUAGAGACCGGCGCACGGGUGCGUAACGCGUAUGCAAUCUACCUUUCACAGAGGGAUAGCCCAGAGAAAUUUGGAUUAAUACCUCAUAGUAUAAUGAGUUGGCAUCAACACAUUAUUAAAGUCACAACGGUGAAAGAUGAGCAUGCGUCCCAUUAGCUAGAUGGUAAGGUAACGGCUUACCAUGGCAACGAUGGGUAGGGGUCCUGAGAGGGAGAUCCCCCACACUGGUACUGAGACACGGACCAGACUCCUACGGGAGGCAGCAGUGAGGAAUAUUGGACAAUGGGCGCAAGCCUGAUCCAGCCAUGCCGCGUGCAGGAUGACGGUCCUAUGGAUUGUAAACUGCUUUUGUACAGGAAGAAACACUGGUUCGUGAACCAGCUUGACGGUACUGUAAGAAUAAGGAUCGGCUAACUCCGUGCCAGCAGCCGCGGUAAUACGGAGGAUCCAAGCGUUAUCCGGAAUCAUUGGGUUUAAAGGGUCCGUAGGCGGUUUAGUAAGUCAGUGGUGAAAGCCCAUCGCUCAACGGUGGAACGGCCAUUGAUACUGCUAAACUUGAAUUAUUAGGAAGUAACUAGAAUAUGUAGUGUAGCGGUGAAAUGCUUAGAGAUUACAUGGAAUACCAAUUGCGAAGGCAGGUUACUACUAAUGGAUUGACGCUGAAGGACGAAAGCGUGGGUAGCGAACAGGAUUAGAUACCCUGGUAGUCCACGCCGUAAACGAUGGAUACUAGCUGUUGGAAGCAAUUUCAGUGGCUAAGCGAAAGUGAUAAGUAUCCCACCUGGGGAGUACGU
rnacentral:rRNA from 1 species